UACGUAGGGUGCGAGCGUUAAUCGGAAUUACUGGGCGUAAAGCGUGCGCAGGCGGUUCGUUAUGUCCGAUGUGAAAGCCCCGAGCUUAACUUGGGAAUGGCAUUGGAAACUGGCGGGCUGGAGUGCGGCAGAGGGGGGUGGAAUUCCACGUGUAGCAGUGAAAUGCGUAGAGAUGUGGAGGAACACCGAUGGCGAAGGCAGCUCGCUGGGACGUUACUGACGCUGAGACGCGAAAGCGUGGGGAGCAAACAGG
rnacentral:rRNA from 1 species